rnacentral:rRNA from 1 species
CCUACGGGUGGCAGCAGUGAGGAAUAUUGGUCAAUGGGCGAGAGCCUGAACCAGCCAAGUCGCGUGAAGGAUGACGGCCCUACGGGUUGUAAACUUCUUUUGUCAGGGAGCAAUUGGGUCCACGCGUGGGCUUAGCGAGAGUACCUGAAGAAAAAGCAUCGGCUAACUCCGUGCCAGCAGCCGCGGUAAUACGGAGGAUGCGAGCGUUAUCCGGAUUGAGUGGGUUUAAAGGGAGCGUAGAUGGGUUGUUAAGUCAGUGGUGAAAGGUUGCGGCUCAACCCCGGCGAGCCGUUGAAACUGGCUGUCUUGAGAUGUCGAGAGGUAUGCGGAAUGCGCAGUGUAGCGGUGAAAUGCUUAGAUAUUGCGCAGAACUCCGAUUGCGAAGGCAGCAUACCGGCGGCGAUCUGACGCUGAGGCACGAAAGCGUGGGUAUCGAACAGGAUUAGAUACCCCAGUAGUC